rnacentral:tRNA from 1 species
GCGCCCGUAGCUCAACUGGAUAGAGCGCCAGACUACGGAUCUGGAGGUUGCGAGUUCGACCCCCGCCGGGCGCACCA